rnacentral:lncRNA from 1 species
CUCCCGGGCCCCCUAGGGCCCCCGGGCCCCCGAGCCCGGUGCGCGCCCUUGCGUCCCGCCGGCCCCCUCCCCCGGCUGGGCCCGGGGGAGGGUGGCGCCGUGAGCGAGCGGGGACUGGGCUCUCCUGCCCGUUCCCCUGUCCCUGGGCCGCCAGGAUGGAGGCGGGGUCCGGUCCUCCGGGUGGCCCGGGAUCUGAGAGCCCCAACCGGGCGGUGGAGUACCUGCUGGAGCUGAACAACAUCAUCGAGAGUCAGCAGCAGCUGUUGGAGACCCAGCGGCGGCGCAUAGAAGAGCUGGAGGGCCAGUUGGACCAGCUCACCCAGGAGAACCGCGACCUGCGGGAGGAGAGCCAGCUGCACCGUGGGGAACUGCACCGGGACCCCCUUGGCGCGCGGGAUAGUCCUGGCCGCGAGAGCCAGUACCAGAACCUGCGUGAGACCCAGUUCCACCACCGCGAGCUGCGGGAGAGCCAGUUCCACCAGGCGUCCCGGGACGUGGGCUACCCGAACCGGGAUGGCGCUUACCAGAACCGGGAAGCUAUCUAUCGGGAUAAGGAGCGAGAAGCUUCCUAUCAGCUCCAGGACACUACCGGUUACACAGCCCGC